rnacentral:rRNA from 1 species
GACGAACGCUGGCGGCGUGCUUAACACAUGCAAGUCGAACGGUGAAGCGCCUUCCUUUUUGGUUGGUGUGGAGGAGUGGCGAACUGGUUAGUAACACGAGAGUAACCUGCACCCUUCUUCUGGAUAACCGCACGAAAGUGUGGCUAAUACGGGAUAUCCUGGUUCUCUCUCAUGAUGGGACUGGGAAAGACAUUGGGUCGGUGGGGGAUGGGCGCCCGACCUAUCAGCUUGUUGGUGGGGUGAUGGUCUUCCAAGGCGGUGCCGGGUAGCCGGCCUGAAAGGGUGGCCGGUCACAGUGGGAGAGCGACACGGUCCGGACUCGUACGAGAGACAGCAGUAGAGAGAAUUGCACAAUGGGCGAAAGUCUGAUACGGGCGCGCCGCGUGAGGGAUGGUGGCCUUCGGGUUGUGAACCUCUUUCGCUAGUGAAGCGGGCGUGCCUCGUGUGUGGGUGGGUUGACGGUAGUUGGAUAAGAAGCGCCGGCUAACUACGUG